rnacentral:rRNA from 1 species
GAUCAUGGCUCAGGAUGAACGCUAGCGAUAGGCCUAACACAUGCAAGUCGAGGGGCAGCACAUGAAGCAGCAAUGCGGAUGGUGGCGACCGGCGCACGGGUGAGUAACGCGUAUGCAACCUACCUACAACAGGGGAAUAACCCGUUGAAAGACGGACUAAUACCCCAUAACACAGGGAUCCCGCAUGGGAAUAUUUGUUAAAGAUUUAUCGGUUGUAGAUGGGCAUGCGUCUGAUUAGCUAGUUGGUAGGGUAACGGCCUACCAAGGCUACGAUCAGUAGGGGGCGUGAGAGCGUGGCCCCCCACACGGGUACUGAGACACGGACCCGACUCCUACGGGAGGCAGCAGUAAGGAAUAUUGGGCAAUGGACGGAAGUCUGACCCAGCCAUCCCGCGUGCAGGACGAAUGCCCUAUGGGUUGUAAACUGCUUUUGUUUGGGAAGAGAUGUAUUCUUUUAAGAGUAUUUGACGGUACCAGACGAAUAAGCACCGGCUAACUCCGUG